rnacentral:sRNA from 1 species
AAACGAUAGUAACUGAUAAUGGUACAGA